rnacentral:rRNA from 1 species
UACGAAGGGGGCUAGCGUUGCUCGGAAUCACUGGGCGUAAAGCGCACGUAGGCGGAUCUUUAAGUCAGGGGUGAAAUCCCAAGGCUCAACCUUGGAACUGCCUUUGAUACUGGGGAUCUCGAGUCCGGAAGAGGUGAGUGGAACUGCGAGCGUAGAGGUGAAAUUCGUAGAUAUUCGCAAGAACACCAGUGGCGAAGGCGGCUCACUGGUCCGGUACUGACGCUGAGGUGCGAAAGCGUGGGGAGCAAACAGG